AAUCAUCCUGACAUGGACCUGAAGUGGACAAGAAAGUGUCAACUUUAAAGUCUUUUACUGAGAGGAUGGAGUAGGCUUCCACAGCAUCAGCGUGUACGACAGGGAGUUACCCCCUGCCAGCCUUCUAAUUCACUCACCAUUCUGCCUUACCCGCAGACCUUCAUACAAGCUUCCAAACCCGUGAAGGAUAUGCUACUGUCCUGGUUUUUCAGCAUGAACAUAGAGAAAUGGUGCAUUAUAUUUAGACUGACUGCUUUAACUAGCACAUCCAGUCUGCCAUGCCAUCCAUCCAUUCUUCUCUUGUGAGGUGAUCGCAUGUCUUCUUCUGUUGUUUUUGAGAUGAGAAAAUAACCGGACCUCUACAAUCCGCACUUGAAGAACAAACAGUAUUAACAAUAGAGGCCACAGCGGCAAUCAUUUAUAGUAUGUGCUAUAUACAAUGUAACACUGUUGAUGUGCUGCACCACUUCAUGCUGGUGGCGGCGGUGUCAAGUGAUUUGCAAUAUGUUCUGAGCUGAUAAUAUCAAUGUAUUCACUUCUAUGUGAAAAUACAGAAAACAGAAAAUGAUCUCACUGUUUAUUUAAAAAUCAUUUAAAUACCUUUCUACACUUUCUACAAAAUGUUAUAUUUUUUACAAG